UACAGAGGUCCCAAGCGUUGUUCGGAUUCACUGGGCGUAAAGGGUGCGUAGGUGGUCAGGUAAGUCGGAUGUGAAAUCUCCGAGCUCAACUCGGAAACUGCAUUGGAAACUACCUGGCUCGAGGGUUGGAGGGGGGACUGGAAUGCUUGGUGUAGCAGUGAAAUGCGUAGAUAUCAAGCGGAACACCAGUGGCGAAGGCGGCUACCUGGGCCAGUUCUGACGCUGAGGCGCGAAAGCGCGGGGAGCAAACAGG
rnacentral:rRNA from 1 species